AGAUUCAUGACAGAAGACAAGAUUUGUACUUUUAGCAACCGGAUGUUUCUACUUUACUCUGAAAGAGAAAGUUCUUUCUGUGAACUUUUAUUAUUUGCAACUGUGAAUCAAGAAGAAAUGAAUUGCAACUAUCCUGUGCUUUUUCUCUCAGCUGGAAGAAUACAUGUGCUAUUUACUAUUUGGGGAAUGAAAAAAUCAUCUUUUUCUAUACAGUAAAUAAUUUCUAAUAGCUGUGGUAUUAAACCUGACAGUAUGUUUGUUGUGGAAAAAUAUCAUCUACUUAAGGCUUUUCAUGUAGCCCUCUCGAAAGGACUCUUAGCAUUUCUUAAUCUUUCUGUGUUGAUUCACUUGCCCUCUCCUGAUAAGAAGCACAGUUCUUAUCAGUGCAGUUGAUAACUGAUAAGUGCAGGGUUGCAGUUUGCAUAAAUUCAAUGCUGCAGCUUCUUAGCUUGACUUGAUACCUCCAGAUUGUUUAAAAUAGUCUUAGGUCAUGGGCAAGAGACUUCAAGACAACCACGGGUCAGCAAAGCACAUAAUCGUGCUUGUGUUUUGAAAAUGCGGCAAUUUGUAACCACACCUGCAAUUCCCAUGGAUAUUCUUCAGAAACUAUAUAAUAUGCUUAUGCCUGCAGGCUCUGGUUUGCCCUCUCAAUGUUAUAUAAUCAUCCUCGAGAAAGUAGUGAAUUCACACUGGCUCUGAGAGGAGACCUGGAUCCUCACUGGGUGCAAUUAAAAUACCAUGGAGCAAAAAGCUGGAGGCUGCACCAAUGACUGCUGCCUGUAAGUGUGCAAAGAGCAGCCAGGUAUUACCCUGCUUUGCUAAAAAAACAGCACCAAGGGCUGCACCACGUGCUGGGUGCACAUGACCUGAGGUCUCUGCGUAGCACGAGGGAACACCCGUAGGAUGGUGCAAUGAUGAGGAAGAUCGGGAGGCAAAGCCACAGAUAUGGGCAGACAGCGAGUCCAGGGAUGUGCCACGCACUGUCAUCCCUCGAGGCAUCCCUGUGCAGAAUCCUCCCAGCACAGGCACAAAAGAUGACCCCUCUGCCUGCAUAAAAACCCAUUGUCUGUCCACAGGCUGUGUAGUGGUAUCCCAAAAACUAAUUACUUUUUUUUGUUGGGGUUUUUUUUCCCGUUGCUUGACAGGAAAGCAGCCUGAAAACACUGUUGAGAAAUGACAGUUUGGGAAGCAGCUCUGGAAUCAUCCUGCAGGGUGCUGGUGCUGUCCAGGCUGCAGCAGGCUGGCAGCCUGCUCUGAUUCCAGGCAGAUUUCCCACACUGACAGGCUGUAGGGCACAAAACAACCGUGUAACAGUGACUAAUGAGAACUGCUGCCUGUCUCCAUGCAGAAACGCUCGGGAAGGGAGGGGUUUCAGGGAAAUUAGAGCCUUCUCUAUUGCCCCUCCUUGCCUGGGAAAAAUGCUUUCUGUGGCUUUGCAAACUGGGGAGCGCGGGAACCCGGGGCCGGGUUUAUUCCCCUGUGCACAUCCUCCCUCCUUGUCUCUCAUGCAGACAGCUACAGCAGGCACAGAAAUUUGCUUUGAUGCAGACUGAAAACCCGAGGAUUUCCUGGUCCAAUUCUGGCUUUUAUGCUUAUGAAGACAGGCACGAGCUUCCUCACAUGCAGCGGAGCAUCAGGAGCUGAAGCUGUGGCAGUCCUGCCCGUGCCUCCGACUUUGUUUAUGUCAAUAAGAGCAGGAAUGUUGCACAUCUCUAUAGACACAACCAGAGGAAAAAAUUAGUUGUCUCUAGUCUCUCUGGCUCAGUUUGAGCAGUUCUGGGAUUGUGUUCUGAAUCUUUUUUAGCAAUCUUGAAAGGAAGGAGAGAAAUCUGUAAUUAAAUCAAUACAUAUGUAAACGAGCAUCUGC